UUUUCCUACGGGACGCAGCAGUGGGGAAUAUUACACAAUGGGGGAAACCCUGAUGCAGCGACGCCGCGUGAGUGAAGAAGUAAUUCGUUAUGUAAAGCUCUAUCAGCAGGGAAGAAAAUGACGGUACCUGAGUAAGAAGCCCCGGCUAACUACGUGCCAGCAGCCGCGGUAAUACGUAGGGGGCAAGCGUUAUCCGGAAUUAUUGGGCGUAAAGAGUACGUAGGUGGCAACCUAAGCGCAGGGUUUAAGGCAAUGGCUCAACCAUUGUUCGCCCUGCGAACUGGGAUGCUUGAGUGCAGGAGAGG
rnacentral:rRNA from 1 species